AGAGUUUGAUCAUGGCUCAGGAUGAACGCUGGCGGCGUGCCUAACACAUGCAAGUCGAACGGGGUUAAGGGAAGUUUCGGAUGGAACUUAACUUAGUGGCGGACGGGUGAGUAACGCGUGGAUAACCUGCCUCGCACUGGGGGAUAGCAGCUGGAAACGGCUGGUAAUACCGCAUAAGACCACAAUGCCGCAUGGCACUGGGGUAAAAGAUUUAUCGGUGCGAGAUGGAUCCGCGUCUGAUUAGCCAGUUGGCGGGGUAACGGCCCACCAAAGCGACGAUCAGUAGCCGGCCUGAGAGGGUGAACGGCCACAUUGGGACUGAGACACGGCCCAAACUCCUACGGGAGGCAGCAGUGGGGAAUAUUGCACAAUGGGCGCAAGCCUGAUGCAAGCAACGCCGCGUGAGUGAAGAAGUAUUUCGGUAUGUAAAGCUCUAUCGGCAGGGAAGAAAGGCCCGAAAGGGAGAUGACGGUACCUGACUAAGAACGCCCCGGCUAACUACGUGCCAGCCGCGGC
rnacentral:rRNA from 1 species